rnacentral:rRNA from 1 species
CCUACGGGUGGCAGCAGUGAGGAAUAUUGGUCAAUGGACGAGAGUCUGAACCAGCCAAGUAGCGUGAAGGAUGACUGCCCUAUGGGUUGUAAACUUCUUUUAUAUGGGAAUAAAACGUUCCACGUGUGGGAUUUUGUAUGUACCAUAUGAAUAAGGAUCGGCUAACUCCGUGCCAGCAGCCGCGGUAAUACGGAGGAUCCGAGCGUUAUCCGGAUUUAUUGGGUUUAAAGGGAGCGUAGGUGGAUUGUUAAGUCAGUUGUGAAAGUUUGGGGCUCAACCGUAAAAUUGCAGUUGAAACUGGCAGUCUUGAGUACAGUAGAGGUGGGCGGAAUUCGUGGUGUAGCGGUGAAAUGCUUAGAUAUCACGAAGAACUCCGAUUGCGAAGGCAGUUCACUGGACUACAACUGACACUGAGGCUCGAAAGUGUGGGUAUCAAACAGGAUUAGAUACCCCGGUAGUC